rnacentral:rRNA from 1 species
UACGUAGGGGGCAAGCGUUGUCCGGAUUUAUUGGACGUAAAGAGCGUGUAGGCGGCUUUACAGGUCCGUUGUGAAAACUCGAGGCUCAACCUCGAGACGCCGGUGGAAACCGUAAAGCUAGAGUCCGGAAGAGGAGAGUGGAAUUCCUGGUGUAGCGGUGAAAUGCGCAGAUAUCAGGAGGAACACCCGUGGCGAAAGCGGCUCUCUGGGACGGUACUGACGCUGAGACGCGAAAAGCGUGGGGAGCAAACAGG